GACACCUGGAGACAGCAGCAUAGAAGCUCUCUUAAGGGCUAAGACCAGCCCUGAUUUUUUAUUUGCAGUUUGUUUCUUUUGCGCUCCUGCCUGCUUGGUUUUGGAUCCUAUGAUUUCACUGUCUCAGCCGGCAGGGAGAAUACGGCUGGCCCAUACCCCAUCCUGGGCUUGCACGUGCCCAGGUACCUACUAUUAUAGAUGUCAUUCCUACCUGCUUCCGCGUGGGGUUUGGGGCACUGAGAACUAUGCUUAGGACCUAAUAAAUACAUUUUGCUGCACAAAACAAACCGGUUCAGAUAUGUGGCCCUGAGCCCAUUUUCAAUUAAUUUUCUUGAAGGGGUUUACACAACUUCCUGCCUUAGGGCCAGAUCCCAGAUACUGUGUAGUACCUGAUUCCUGGAGCUGGCUGAUUGGUGGCGGAAGGGGUGUGAGUAAGGGGAUCCCAAUGUGGCCCUUAACAUUUAAGUUCUAUGUAUGAAGACUGGAAGAAUAUAGAGAAGUGGACAGAGAACUACCCCAACGGGGGAAUCAAAGGACCUGCUAGGCAGCCGGAAGGGACAAGCUGCAAAGGCCUUCUGCUAAGACUGCUCUGCAUCGACUCCUGGGAAUGUCACCGGUUGGAACAGACAGGAAAGUCCGGGUCUAUCUCAAGUGCACUCGUGGGCUAGAAGGGUGGUGCCAAUGCAAACUUCCCCACUCCAGGCCACCCGUCCACCUCUGCCCGGACAAGAGGUGACCUCCCCUAGCCAGGAGAAUGGACUCGUUCCCCUGAUGGGGUGGACUGGUUUACGGGAAGAGCACCGGAGCCCCCAUCAGCGGGGGACACUAGAGAGGAGAGAGCCUGGUUCACCACAUCCAGCCAUGAGGGGCCCAUCACGGGUGAGUGUGCUCUUUCCCAGCCUCCGAGGCUGUGGUUUUCAACCUUUUUAGGCUGCAUAUCCCGUUCCAAA